GUUACGGUGGCGUAGUGGUUAGAGCAUCAGCCUCUGAUGCAGGAGGUCGCUGGUUUGAACCCCGGCUGAAUCA